CCUACGGGGGGCUGCAGUGGGGAAUAUUGCGCAAUGGGGGCAACCCUGACGCAGCCAUGCCGCGUGAAUGAAGAAGGCCUUCGGGUUGUAAAGUUCUUUCGGUAGCGAGGAAGGCAUUUAGUUUAAUAAACUGGAUGAUUGACGUUAACUACAGAAGAAGCACCGGCUAACUCCGUGCCAGCAGCCGCGGUAAUACGGAGGGUGCGAGCGUUAAUCGGAAUAACUGGGCGUAAAGGGCACGCAGGCGGUGACUUAAGUGAGGUGUGAAAGCCCCGGGCUUAACCUGGGAAUUGCAUUUCAUACUGGGUCGCUAGAGUACUUUAGGGAGGGGUAGAAUUCCACGUGUAGCGGUGAAAUGCGUAGAGAUGUGGAGGAAUACCGAAGGCGAAGGCAGCCCCUUGGGAAUGUACUGACGCUCAUGUGCGAAAGCGUGGGGAGCUAACAGGAUUAGAUACCCCAGUAGUC
rnacentral:rRNA from 1 species